rnacentral:rRNA from 1 species
UGCAGUCGAGGGGUAUUUAUCUUCGGAUAGAGAGACCGGCGCACGGGUGCGUAACGCGUAUGCAAUCUACCUUUUACAGAGGGAUAGCCCAGAGAAAUUUGGAUUAAUACCUCAUAGUAUUAUGAAAUGGCAUCAUUUUAUAAUUAAAGUCACAACGGUAAAAGAUGAGCAUGCGUCCCAUUAGCUAGUUGGUAAGGUAACGGCUUACCAAGGCUACGAUGGGUAGGGGUCCUGAGAGGGAGAUCCCCCACACUGGUACUGAGACACGGACCAGACUCCUACGGGAGGCAGCAGUGAGGAAUAUUGGACAAUGGGCGCAAGCCUGAUCCAGCCAUGCCGCGUGCAGGAUGACGGUCCUAUGGAUUGUAAACUGCUUUUAUACGAGAAGAAACACUCCGACGUGUCGGAGCUUGACGGUAUCGUAAGAAUAAGGAUCGGCUAACUCCGUGCCAGCAGCCGCGGUAAUACGGAGGAUCCAAGCGUUAUCCGGAAUCAUUGGGUUUAAAGGGUCCGUAGGCGGUUUAAUAAGUCAGUGGUGAAAGCCCAUCGCUCAACGGUGGAACGGCCAUUGAUACUGUUAAACUUGAAUUAUUAGGAAGUAACUAGAAUAUGUAGUGUAGCGGUGAAAUGCUUAGAGAUUACAUGGAAUACCAAUUGCGAAGGCAGGUUACUACUAAUGGAUUGACGCUGAUGGACGAAAGCGUGGGUAGCGAACAGGAUUAGAUACCCUGGUAGUCCACGCCGUANACGAUGGAUACUAGCUGUUGGGAGCAAUCUCAGUGGCUAAGCGAAAGUGAUAAGUAUCCCACCUGGGGAGUACGUUCGCAAGAAUGAAAUCAAAGGGAUUGACGGGGGCCCGCACAAGCGGUGGAGCAUGUGGU